GUGGAUAACCUACCUAUAAGACUGGGAUAACUUCGGGAAACCGGAGCUAAUACCGGAUAACAUAUUGAACCGCAUGGUUCAAUAGUGAAAGGCGGCUUUGCUGUCACUUAUAGAUGGAUCCGCGCCGUAUUAGCUAGUUGGUAAGGUAACGGCUUACCAAGGCAACGAUACGUAGCCGACCUGAGAGGGUGAUCGGCCACACUGGAACUGAGACACGGUCCAGACUCCUACGGGAGGCAGCAGUAGGGAAUCUUCCGCAAUGGGCGAAAGCCUGACGGAGCAACGCCGCGUGAGUGAUGAAGGUCUUCGGAUCGUAAAACUCUGUUAUCAGGGAAGAACAAAUGUGUAAGUAACUGUGCACAUCUUGACGGUACCUGAUCAGAAAGCCACGGCUAACUACGUGCCAGCAGCCGCGGUAAUACGUAGGUGGCAAGCGUUAUCCGGAAUUAUUGGGCGUAAAGCGCGCGUAGGCGGUUUUUUAAGUCUGAUGUGAAAGCCCACGGCUCAACCGUGGAGGGUCAUUGGAAACUGGAAUACUUGAGUGCAGAAGAGGAAAGUGGAAUUCCAUGUGUAGCGGUGAAAUGCGCAGAGAUAUGGAGGAACACCAGUGGCGAAGGCGACUUUCUGGUCUGUAACUGACGCUGAUGUGCGAAAGCGUGGGGAUCAAACAGGAUUAGAUACCCUGGUAGUCCACGCCGUAAACGAUGAGUGCUAAGUGUUAGGGGGAUUCCGCCCCUUAGUGCUGCAGCUAACGCAUUAAGCACUCCGCCUGGGGAGUACGACCGCAAGGUUGAAACUCAAAGGAAUUGACGGGGACCCGCACAAGCGGUCGAGCAUG
rnacentral:rRNA from 1 species